AUCACAUUCAGGUGCGCCACUGCAGCAGGGCAAGUAGAACUGCCUACAAUUUUAGUACAAGACCGUGAGGAACAUGAGCGGGACCCCGCCAUUAACGAAACAGAGGAAGCUCUCCGGACCCAUCAAACCGGCCCACUCGAUUUCGGAGAACGAUAACAGCUCUCCUGUUAAGGCGAACUCCACAUCGCCAAAAAGAAAACCGUCAGUAUCCUCUCCACCAAGGGCAUCGUCACCAUCAUCGCCGUCACCUCCACCGCCUCAACUACCUACACGAAAGACUACUGCACCAGCGGCACAAAAGGCCCCUCAACCACCACCAAAACCGAAAGAGUCGAAUGUGCAUCAAGGCCCAUCGACGAGAAAGCUUGUCUUUAACCACAACUACCACAGAAGUCCUUCGGUUCGCCCACCCCACCCUGCAUGCCUACCAAUCUGUUCUGCCUAGAAGAUAUCCAAGUUUGCACGAUGCACCAGUAAAUUCGUUAUGAUAGAGCAGGACGUCUGGGUCUGACAGAAAUUGGCUGCUCGGUGGCCAUAGUAUCAUCUAUCAUGUUUCAUGACUGCCAGUGGAACAGCCUAUUCGCCCUCUUCCACGUAGCCAUGAUGUACGGAAUCAUGGGAUUCAUCUUCUUCAUGAAUGGCGCCUUAGCAGGUAGCCAUGCCGAACGAGACACGGGAUACGUUCACCAGGAACUGCCACUCGUCCUGACAGUGCAAUACUACAGCCUUGGUUUCCUGCUCUACUUUCUCUUGGGCAUUAAAGUCAUCAUCAUGCCGGCAAAGGACGCCCUCAUUGUGAUCGCAGCCAUUGCGGCUAUUUUUGCCGCAAUGGCUCUACUUGCUCAUGGCAUAUUCAGUGUGCGUCAUCGAUGACCCCUUCGCUGAACAACACUGUGAACGAUUUUGUACGCGAUGUGAAAUUGUCAUACACGAUAAAAUAAUAGAAUACAGGUAAAUGAUAUGUCACAGCACGAGGUGACUUGUACCUCAUUCUCGUUCACCGUUCUUAAAUUAAAUGGGCAUUAUCUCUCGA